GACGAACGCUGGCGGCGUGCCUAAUACAUGCAAGUUGAGCGAUGAAGAUUGGUGCUUGCACCAAUUUGAAGAGCAGCGAACGGGUGAGUAACGCGUGGGGAAUCUGCCUUUGAGCGGGGGACAACAUUUGGAAACGAAUGCUAAUACCGCAUAACAACUUUAAACAUAAGUUUUAAGUUUGAAAGAUGCAAUUGCAUCACUCAAAGAUGAUCCCGCGUUGUAUUAGCUAGUUGGUGAGGUAAAGGCUCACCAAGGCGAUGAUACAUAGCCGACCUGAGAGGGUGAUCGGCCACAUUGGGACUGAGACACGGCCCAAACUCCUACGGGAGGCAGCAGUAGGGAAUCUUCGGCAAUGGACGAAAGUCUGAACGAGCAACGCCGCGGGAGUGAAGAAGGUUGUCGGAUCGUAAAACUCUGUUGGUAGAGAAGAACGUUGGUGAGAGUGGAAAGCUCAUCAAGUGACGGUAACUACCCAGAAAGGGACGGCUAACUACGUG
rnacentral:rRNA from 1 species